UCGGCAACGCCAUACAGGUGGGGUUGCCAAACCGCUCUACGCUGCAAAAGCUGCAAAGCCGCUGUGGUGAACGGAUAGAGAAAAGGUGAGGACGACUCAUCAG
rnacentral:ncRNA from 1 species